UACGUAGGUGGCAAGCGUUGUCCGGAAUUAUUGGGCGUAAAGGGCGCGUAGGCGGCACCCUAAGUCAGAUGUGAAAACCCGGGGCUUAACUCCGGACGUGCAUUUGAAACUGGGGAGCUUGAGUGCAGGAGAGGUAAGUGGAAUUCCUAGUGUAGCGGUGAAAUGCGUAGAUAUUAGGAGGAACACCAGUGGCGAAGGCGACUUACUGGACUGUAACUGACGCUGAGGCGCGAAAGCGUGGGGAGCAAACAGG
rnacentral:rRNA from 1 species